AUGGAGACCUUGCCGCCAGUACCCGCUCGUGGAUGGAACUCCCUCUUCGACCGUCUCUUCGGCGGUCGCCGGCGCCGGCGCCCUGCUCUCCCGCUCCCUGUCCACAGUUCCGUCGAUCUUUCUCUCCGGAAUUUUUACAACAAGCCCAUUGGCUGUGUCAUCUUGGAGGAAAUUAUGCAACGCAGGCUGUCCUAUUUGCGCGGUAUUGAGGAAGAUUUGAAGUAUUGGAAGUCCAAGGCCCGGGGUUCAUAUUCACAGACAAUGUAUUUCAUGAUAUUUCAAAGAGGUCCAAGUGCUUUUGCUGAAGCAACAUGCCCACGUCUGACUAGACUUGGGAACGACAACGGAGGUCCGUCGCAGGGCCUUUUAAAGUCUGCAUAUAAUAUUAUCUCAACAAACAUGGAUGUCCUGAUGAGUAUCAAGCGCUGCUUGGCUGCUUUUCUUGCCGAGGUUUAUCAGCAAGCAGAUAUAUGCAAAGAAGGAUUAACUGGAAGUCAUUGCGAUUCGCUAUAUACACUAAUUAUCAUUUUGAACCAUGUCUUUCCCAAGUUGGAGGAAUUGCAUAGAAUUGCGGGUGGGGGGCAAACGACUCCUCUAUUCACACAUGAUGGAAACUCGUCUGAACUUCAGUUCAAAAGAUUGCCAGAAGUUGACAUUAAUAGUUCACAAUGGACAGAUGCAUUCUCAGCAAAUGCUAUAGGUUUGAUCUAUCAAAACAUCGAGAAGCUAGAUAAUUUUGUUUCCGCUUUGCUUUCAAGGCAUAAGAAACCAACACACAUGACCUUAUACUGGUUACCCUACACAUGUGGAGCAUUGGUUUCUCUUUAUGUUCUCUAUGGCUAUUACGCCAUAGUAGCUUGA
rnacentral:rRNA from 1 species